rnacentral:misc_RNA from 1 species
GAAUGAAUUGCCGCCUAGCUUGAAAAGCCAAGAAAUGAAACAAUACCUGUAAACUCCUCUUGUUCAUACUCUAGCCUCGUUGCAGUGCAAGAGCUAGUUUAGACAUGAACGUAUCUCCAAUUACUUGACAGAAAAACCUCCUUCCCUGCUUUCAGCAGACUGGUACUCAUCCUUUGAUUCUUGAAAGCUACUUUGAUUGCCAUAACUGCUACCAUUUGAAUAAGACUGCUGAAGCUCGGCCAACCUUCCAUUUUCAUUCCUCUUUUGAAUAUCAGCAGCAUUGAACUGCAAAGGUUCAGAACCCGAUGAACUCAC